rnacentral:rRNA from 1 species
AUUGAACGCUGGCGGCAGGCCUAACACAUGCAAGUCGAACGAGUGGCGGACGGGUGAGUAAUGUCUGGGAAACUGCCUGAUGGAGGGGGAUAACACCUGGAAACGGUAUCUAAUACCGCAUACCAUCAGAUGUGCCCAGAUGGGAUUGGCUAGUAGGUGGGGUAACGGCUCACCUAGGCGACGAUCCCUAGCUGGUCUGAGAGGAUGACCAGCCACACUGGAACUGAGACACGGUCCAGACUCCUACGGGAGGCAGCAGUGGGGAAUAUUGCACAAUGGGCGCAAGCCUGAUGCAGCCAUGCCGCGUGUAUGAAGAAGGCCUUCGGGUUGUAAAGGACUUUCGGCGGGGAGGCGUUACCCGCAGAAGAAGCACCGGCUAACUCCGUGCCAGCAGCCGCGGUAAUUC